rnacentral:lncRNA from 1 species
UUACAGAAAACUGCCCAACUUUUGCAGUAAAUUGCGCAAAUGAAUGAAGUACUGAUAGAUCGUCACAAAGCUUUGGCUGCAAAAGUGGUUAACUUAUUGGCUAAGAUUUGUGAAGUUGGUAGCUAUUGACCAUAUUCAUGAAGAUCACCGAACCCGUAGAGUUUGAGCACCUGAUUAUCAGCGAAAUUGAUAGCCCUUUCCAUGCUACUAAGACACCUCUCAACUGGAUAAUCACCAUAACUUCCACACGGAUUACAACCCACAAAAUGAGUCACAAACGGCCACCUCUCAUCCCCUAAACCCGGAUGAUACUUCUCAAUCAUCUCCUCAUACCGAUCAACCAACCCAGCCGUCAAAAUCUUCCAGGCCUCUUCCCUGACAGGACCUUUCGGACCCAUAGGAGCCCAAACAUCAAGCAAAUCCAAAGACCAUUGACAGUUCCUAAAAAGAAAACUACCAGUAUUGAUAGCAAUCCAUGACUUCUGCUUUCUGUUUAUUCAUUCACCUAUGUACAAGUCUCUGUCGCUUUCUGUUCAUUCACUUGAAGCCCCUUUUGGGAAGUUUCCUGCCUUUCUUCCAUUUCUACGGUGUUCCUUUGCUAACUCUAUUUGUUUUAUUUACAGAAAACUGCCCAGCCUUUGCACCAAAUUGCGCAAAUGAACAAUAUACUGAUAGAUCGCCACAAAGCUUUGGCUGCAAAAGUGGUUAACUUAUUGGCUAAGGUUUGGGAAUUUGGUAGCUAUUGACCAUAUUCAUGAAGAUUACGGUGUCUUUCUUCUUUCCAUUUCGAUGUACCCCUACUUACAUUUAUACUUGGCAAUUUGUGUGGUUCUGCAGGUGUUGGUAUGUAAAUUGACAAAAGAACUAAUUGCGAUUCUCAGCGCAUUUUCCCUAUUACAGAAGAGUGACCAAAGAUAAUGGCUGAAUUGCCAACUUGGGGUUUUAUCAUUAAUAUGGACUGGAAGAUAGCAGAGCACACUCUAAGUCUAACUGUACCAAUUGUUAGUUAGCUAUGUUCUUCUAAUCUUCUUACUCACAUUUUUUUCAUUUACACAAUCUCUUGAUGUCAAAUUAAUGAUUCCAACAUUAUGGUUUAGUUUUAGGAAAGUCCUAAACUUGGAUUUUCUUGGACCAAAGUCUAUUCUUAGUUACAUUCAGCAUAUGUUAAUGAAAGAGGCUCACUUUUCUUAAGGGUGUAAUUUUUUUAUACGAAAUUCUUAAGCAUAUGACGUUAGGUUUGAUUUGAAAUUUUUCUAAGCAUUCAACUUACGGUGAAGAAAUUUCGUAUCAAACCUAAGAAUAAAGUUUAUGGUGUCCUUUCUACCACAUCAUUAAUACUAACUACUUAUCUAUUGGUGAAGAAAUACCGACAUUUUUUUUUUUUGAAGUGUUUAACAACUCAUUGGAUUUUAAAACUCAAACUAAAUUAUAAAGAAAUUACAAAGCAUGUUGUUUAGCAACUCAGGUAUCAAACUAUGAUUGCGAACAAUGUGGUGUGGGUAUAGGCCAGUGUUUUGUAAACUAGACUGGCUCUUUCAACAGGUUAAACCAAUAACACAUGUACUCAAAUUACUGAAAAGUGGAUCAUAUUUGGUCUGAAGUUGAUGGUAAAAACUAUUUGAUUCUGUGAACAUUUCAACUUAAGAUAAUUUUAUUGUAAUUUCUUGAUUUAACAAAUAGAUUAUAAAAUUUCUAGCCAAAAUAAAUGUCCAGCUUUUUAAGUUGUAUUCGUAUUGUAAAUAUUAUUUCAAUAUAAAUAACAUCACAAACUUGCUUAAGUAGUUGCUUAAACAUACUACCCCGGGAUGGGUGAAAACUCGUGGAUGGGUUGAAACUUGAAGAUAGCUUGGAGAGUUGCUGGAUGCAAUCAAGUACGUCUCAAUCCUUCCAAAGGGGAGGCACUAUAACUUGGGUUGGCUCGUUUGUUGUGGAAAGCAAAGCAAUUGGCUACUUUAGCCAAACAUGGAUCUAACUUCACACAUACAGCCAGGUCCGGCCUUGAGGGAGUGCAAGGUGCUCAAUCAAGCCGGACCUACAAAAGUUAUGUGCCUCAAAAAAAAUUAAAUCUAAUAUCCACCCCCACUUAAAUAAAAAAUAUAUAUGUUACUUCUUUACACGUUUGAGUUUUUUCUAGACUUUAGUUCUCCAAUCUGGACAUAAAUCUGGUACUAUCAAACCACCCUAAUUUGUAUAAUCACUUAAUCAGUCAAUUUGAAAAGCUAUUUCAUGGAAAGAAUCACAACAAUCAUUUCUUUUUCAUAUAGACCAUUCGUUUUCCCCUUUCCCACAACGGAUAAGUGACAAAUCCAAAUGACACCGUUAGUAAAUUCUACCUCUCUUUCACUUAUUUUUUUGUAUUUCGUUUCAUGUUUAGAAGCUCUGCUGAUUCAUAGGGACGGCCCUGCAUACAGCCAAUACGGAUAUGCAUAUACUAGUGUAACACCACUAUCAACACAUAAACCUAAAUCUUAAAAUUAACUAUAUAAAAUGACAAAAUAAUGCAUUCACAUUUGUUACCGGUGUAAAAUUGAUUGAAUAAUGCUAGCAAUACAUACUCUUUAACACACACUUUACAUCACACUAUCCUUUAUUGAUUAAAAUUCAUAUCCAUCAAAUAUAUGUAUGAUCGACAUGACUUUGUGGGUUUAUAUAAAUUUUAACCAUUAAAAGAGAAUGUGUUAAGGAGUAUGUUGCUUGCACUCCUCAAACUGAUUUACAAGCAUGUCUCUUAAUAGUGAGUUCACCGUUUCUAAAUCUAUCUAUUUACUUACAAUAUAUGAUAGCAAGUUACUACCAAAAAUACUUAACUACCCAUGCCCAAAUUUUCACCAUUUUAUUUUCUUCACAACUCAAAGGUUAUAAUGGACUUUUGUGCUAAUAAAAACCACUUUUUACCUCAAUGAUGUCAUCAAUCUACUUACAAUAUAUGAUAGCAAUUUACUACCAAAAAUACUUAACUACCCAUGCCCAAAUUUUCACCAUUUUAUUUUCUUCACAAUUCAAAGGUUAUAAUGGACUUUUGUGCUAAUAAAAACCACUUUUUACCUCAAUGAUGUCAUCAAACUUGUUAUACAUUGGGUAACGCGCUACACCCUAUUAUACAAUUUUUUAUUCAACUAUCAUUUCAUUUUCUCUGCAACUUUUCACCAUUUGAAAUUUGAAUUUCAAAUUCACUCAUUCAAAAUUUCUCACUCUUCUCUUUCAUUAUAUUCAUCUUUCUAUCUCAUUUCAUCUUUUGUUCUUUAAUUAUUUCUCUUGCUUCUCAUCUUUGCUCUUUCUCAUAUAUGUCCGUUAAAACAAAUUAAAUUUAAAAUAAUGUCCGUUAAAAAAAUGUAUAAAAUAACUACUAUUUUCCCCUAAACAAACAUAUAUCAAAGUAUAUAUAUUUUUCUCAAAAAUAAAAAAUCUACGUGUAUAUCAUAUUUUACGGAAAUAUGUCAGUACAUUUUUUUGUGAACAAUGUAUGUAUAUCUUUAUUUAUGAAAUUUAAUGUGAACUUUAUAUUAUUAAAAUAUAUUUGAGUGUAAGUUUUUUUACGAGAAUAUGUUUGUGUAUGUAUAUUUAUAAAAUUUAAUAUGAUAAAUAUAUAUUAAUAAAAUAUAUUGUUUUUCGUCCCCAUGAGCAUAACUCAUUUGAUAAGGGAUAAUGCACAAUAUGUGCAUGGGCCGGGGUUCGAACCCCAGACACCCCACUUAUUCAUCUUACAGGUGAAUUUCUCUAGUCACUAGGCUACUUGACCAAAAUAUAUAUAUAUAUAUAUAUAUAUAUAUAUAUAUAUAUAUAUAUAUAUAUAUAUAUAUAUAUAUAUAUAUAGUUUUUCAAAAAAAAAUGUAUAUGUGUGUAAGAACUAUAUAUUAAUAAAAAUAUAUUUAAGUAUAUAUAUUUUUCUCAAAAAGAAAAAAUCUAGGCUUAAUUGCAUGUUUGAUCCCUUAUGUUUAUUUUAGUUUUUAAAUUGGUCCUUCAUGUUUUAAAAGUUUUAAGUUGGUCCAAAACGUUACUCACGUUGGAAUAAAUUAGUUUGUUUUUUUAAUUUUUUUUGUUUUAUUAAACUCAAUAUCAUGUCAUGGAACAGACUAACUUAUUCCAACGUGAGUAACAUUUUGGACCAACUUGAAACUUUUAAAACCUAAGGGACCAACUUAAAAACUAAAAUAAACAAAGAUCAAACAUAAACAUAAGAGAUCAAAUUGGUCCUUGAUGUGUGUCGGUGUGGUUUCUAUUCAUUCAUUCACUAGAAGCCAUAGUUUUUUUUUUUUUUUUUUUGCAGUUUCCUGACUGGCUUUCAUUUCUUUGGUAUUGCUUCGCUAACUGUGAUAUUUUAGUUUUGCAGAAAAUUGCCCAACAUUUGAACCAGACUGCACAAAUGACGAAACACUGAUAGAAUGUCACAAAGCUUUGGCCGCAAAAGUGGUUAACUAAUUGGCUAAGGUUUGUGAACAUAGUAGGUAUUGUAAAUCACAUUCAUGAAGAGCUUUGGUAAAGAGCUUUUCUGUACGAUGUACAAUGAGACUGUCUUUCUUCUUUCCAUUUGGAAGUACCACUACUUGGUACUUACAUUUGUACUUUGCAAUUUGCUUGGUUCUGCAGGUGUUAGUUAGCAUGUAAAUUGACAAAAGAAUUAAUUGUGAUUCUCCAUGCAUAUUACAGAAGAAUGAUCAAACAUGAACUAAGAAGUGUUUUCAUCUCAAAUAUACUCAAAGAUAUUGGCUGGUGAAUAAAUUGCCAACUUAGGAUUUCACUAUCUUAAUGAAUUUUUACGUGAAUUUCACUAAAUAACUUGGACCACAUUCUCUGUAUUUGAAAGAUUUCCUAAUAUACAAAUAAUGCCGCAAGUCCCGCAACAAAGUACAUGCUUGGUUAUACAGAAGCUACAAACAGCGUAUAUGUGGUAUCUCACAUUAGAUUUUUCAGGAUCAUGUUCACGGUGGCUCGCCAUUGUAAUACCAAACAUGCACAAUAUUCGCAUGCAUGGUAUAGAUAUUUCUCCUCUCGUUACGAUUUACUUGUCAAAGCACCCUAUUCUGAAUUAACUGUAUCUUGGGGGUAAUUAUGAACCGAAACAUUGUCCAAAAGUCAAAGUUGUGUACCGUAUAUAAAAUUUUUAACUUCAACUUAUAUUUCAAGCUACCUAUUAGACAUUUUUUUGUUGAAAAUGAUACUAUUAUUUCAAGCUACCUCUUAGAAUUUGGAAACGCAAGGGGGCCAAAUAUUCAGUUGUUACUUCAUGUUACAAUUUAUUUAUUUUUUAAAUCAAGAGGGAAUGUAAAGUAUAUUAAGUUGAAUUCAUGCUCCAAAAAAGAAAAUACAGUGGAAGUUCAGUAUACAGAAGAUCAACAAAUAAAAUUUGUUUGUUGAUAGUUCAAACACAGCAGAAAGAAAAUAACUUAUAAAAGAAUUGUAUCCUAACAUUUCAAAGAAAUACUAAGACAACAGAACAAGAAUAAGUUACAUGUGAACUAUCACAAUAAAAUUCCACUUCUAAUCAACCACUAUCUGUAAUAAUUACCAAUUAAUCUAGUUAUUCUCACUAGCUUUUUGAUUCAAUGCUUUCUGUAGAAUGCCUUCGAAUAUCAAACUGGUCUACAAACUCCAAAGGAGUAACUGUCUCAUUUCUAAUUCUCUUAAUCUUAGGACUCAAUAGACCGCGAUGCCUGAACCCGUAGAGUUUGAGCACCUGAUUAUCAGCGAAGUUGAAAGCCCUUUCCAUGCUACUAAGACACCUCUCAACCGGAUAAUCACCAUAACUUCCACACGGCUUACAACCCACAAAAUGAGUCACAAACGGCCACCUCUCAUCCCCUAAACCCGGAUGAUACUUCUCAAUCAUCUCCUCAUACCGAUCAACCAACCCAGCCCAAUAACCAUGCAAAUAGUAAGAAUUCUCAAGAAACACCUUAUCCAUCCACUUCUCCUUCUUCGACAACAACAAAUAUAUCAACGCAGACUGAUCAUCCGCCUCAAAAGCCGGUCUCCCCUUAAGAUUAGCCGUCAAAAUCUUUCCCGCCUCUUCCCUGACAGGACCUUUCGGACCCAUAGGAGCCCAAACAUCAAGCAAAUCCAAAGACCACUGACAAUUCCUAAAAAGAAAACUACCAGUAUUGAUAGCAAUCCAUGACUUCUGCUCAAACAACAAAUCAGGGUAACCAUGAAUGACCAAAUUAUAAUCAUCAUACUUAGACAAAGGAAGCUCAAAAACCAUAUCUGUAAAAAAAGCAUCACUAUCCAUCCACCAAAUCCAUUCAACUUCAGGGUGUGACAACAUUAACCUCCUAAUCAUAGGCAAUUUAGCCCAAUAACCAGCUAACUCCAUGUCAAGAUGAGCCAUAUUAUAAACAAUUUCAAUCCCAUGUAAUCUACAAUAAUCAAUCUUAUUCUUAAUAGACUUUAACAAAUAAUGAUCCCCAAUUGGGUUAUCACAAGGCUUAGGAGGAGACCCAGUAAGAAGCAAAAUUCGAGCUUUACCUCGAACAAAACUCGGGUAUUCAGGGUUUUGAUUCAGCCAAGCUUUACGGUCAGAAUCCCAAUCGGAGAUUUUGGGGCCGAGGGUAAAAGUGGCAUUUGGGUUGAAAAAGGUGUUGUCUUUAUCGUCAGGAUCAGAUGGGUCGGCGUCGGAUCGGAUCUCGGCGAUGAUGCGGUUGGUUUCUUCGAUCAUGUUUUGGUUAACGGCGUCGGAGUCGGAGGAAAUGAGGUUAACGCCUAUGGUGCCACGUAGGACGAGGAUGGUGACGAAGCCACAGAGGAUGGUGAUUUUAACGUUGUUGAAUGUUUUUGAGAUCUGACGACCACGACGGUUUUUGCUGUUGGAGUUUGUUGCUGUGGUUGGUAAAACUGCGCUGCUGCUUCUGUUGUGAAGUGAACCAUUUUCUUUUCCCAUGUUUUCUGUCACUCACUCUCACUCUCAGUGAGAAAUGAGUAUAUGGAAUUUGAUUGAUGAUAACAAACCAAAGUUCAAUUUUGGAAAUUUGAAGGAUAUAAGAAGAGAUAAAUCUUUUCUACUUUCUACUCUACAUGCUGGGUUUGGGUUUAGGAACUAAAAUUCAUACUAUAAGCAACAGAGACGUGUUUCUCAUAUUCUCAUUGGGAGUCUUGUUUUUUUAAUACUGGUAGGUAAAAUAAUGUGUAUGUUAAUAUCCCAAAUGUGAACAUUUUUUUAGCUCACCUUGAAUCUGAUUGAAUUGAAUGAAUACUUUGA